UAGGGAAUCUUCCGCAAUGGGCGAAAGCCUGACGGAGCAACGCCGCGUGAGUGAUGAAGGUCUUCGGAUCGUAAAACUCUGUUAUUAGGGAAGAACAAAUGUGUAAGUAACUAUGCACGUCUUGACGGUACCUAAUCAGGAAGCCACGGCUAACUACGUGCCAGCAGCCGCGGUAAUACGUAGGUGGCAAGCGUUAUCCGGAAUUAUUGGGCGUAAAGCGCGCGUAGGCGGUUUUUUAAGUCUGAUGUGAAAGCCCACGGCUCAACCGUGGAGGGUCAUUGGAAACUGGAAAACUUGAGUGCAGAAGAGGAAAGUGGAAUUCCAUGUGUAGCGGUGAAAUGCGCAGAGAUAUGGAGGAACACCAGUGGCGAAGGCGACUUUCUGGUCUGUAACUGACGCUGAUGUGCGAAAGCGUGGGGAUCAAACAGG
rnacentral:rRNA from 1 species